GCGAACGCUGGCGGCAGGCUUAACACCUGCAAGUCGAGCGGGCCUUUCGGGGUCAGCGGCGGACGGGUGAGUAACGCGUGGGAACGUGCCCUCUGGUUCGGAAUAACUCAGGGAAACUUGAGCUAAUACCGGAUACGCCCUUUUGGGGAAAGGCUUGCUGCCGGAGGAUCGGCCCGCGUCUGAUUAGCUAGUUGGUGAGGUAACGGCUCACCAAGGCGACGAUCAGUAGCUGGUCUGAGGGGAUGAUCAGCCACACUGGGACUGAGACACGGCCCAGACUCCUACGGGAGGCAGCAGUGGGGAAUAUUGGACAAUGGGCGCAAGCCUGAUCCAGCCAUGCCGCGUGAGUGAUGAAGGCCUUAGGGUUGUAAAGCUCUUUUAUCCGGGACGAUAAUGACGGUACCGGAGGAAUAAGCCCCGGCUAACUUCGUG
rnacentral:rRNA from 1 species